CAAUAGCGUAUAUUAAAGUUGUUGCAGUUAGAACGCUCGUAGUCGGAUUUCGGGGCGGGCCGACCGGUCUGCCGAUGGGUAUGCACUGGUCGGCGCGUCCUUCCUUCCGGAGACCGUCCCUACUCUUAACUGAGCGGGGGCGGGAGACGGGACUUUUACUUUGAAAAAAUCAGAGUGUUUCAAGCAGGCAGCUCGCUCUUGCAUGGAUUAGCAUGGGAUAAUGAAAUAGGACUUUGGUGCUAUUUUGUUGGUUUCGAACACCGAAGUAAUGAUGAGAAGGGACAGUCAGGGGCACUCGUAUUCCGCCGAGAGAGGUGAGAUUCUCAGACCAGCGGAAGACGAACCACUGCGAAAGCAUUUGCCAGGGAUGUUUUCACUGA
rnacentral:rRNA from 1 species